UCCGGCUUAUCACUGGCAGUCCCUCUAGAGUGCCCAACUUAAUGAUGGCAACUAAAGGCGAGGGUUGCGCUCGUUGCGGGACUUAACCCAACAUCUCACGACACGAGCUGACGACAGCCAUGCAGCACCUGCGUUCCGGGCUCCGAAGAGAAGGUCGCGUCUCUGCGACCGGUCCCGGACAUGUCAAGGGCUGGUAAGGUUCUGCGCGUUGCGUCGAAUUAAACCACAUGCUCCACCGCUUGUGCGGGCCCCCGUCUAUUCCUUUGAGUUUUAAUCUUGCGACCGUACUCCCCAGGCGGAUAACUUAAUGCGUUAGCUGCGGCACAGAGCGGGUUGAAGACCGCCCCACACCUAGCACUCAACGUUUACGGCUGGGACUAC
rnacentral:misc_RNA from 1 species